CCUCCAUUGGGCCCAUCUUGUCAGUCCGAUGGUGGAGGACAUUGAUCCUAACAGGCUCAUGCAUCUUUCUGCUGAGGUCACAUUGGAUGCCAACAUGUCUUUGACUUUGUUCAUCAACUUCGUACCUCUUUCUGGAGACAGUUGCACUGUGCCUGCUAGAGUGUUGAAUAUGGCCCCCAAAUAUUUCAUCUCCUGAGCCGGCUGUAAUUGGCUCUUGUUCUCGUUUAUCUUCC